rnacentral:rRNA from 1 species
UACGUAGGGGCUAGCGUUAUCCGGAAUUACUGGGCGUAAAGGGUGCGUAGGUGGUUUCUUAAGUCAGAGGUGAAAGGCUACGGCUCAACCGUAGUAAGCCUUUGAAACUGGGAAACUUGAGUGCAGGAGAGGAGAGUGGAAUUCCUAGUGUAGCGGUGAAAUGCGUAGAUAUUAGGAGGAACACCAGUUGCGAAGGCGGCUCUCUGGACUGUAACUGACGCUGAGGCACGAAAGCGUGGGGAGCAAACAGGAUUAGAUACCCGUGUAGUCCCUGAGCGGG